rnacentral:rRNA from 1 species
UGGGGAAUCUUGCACAAUGGGGGCAACCCUGAUGCAGCGACGCCGCGUGAGCGAUGAAGCCCUUCGGGGCGUAAAGCUCUUUCGACCGGAACGAUAAUGACGGUACCGGGAGAAGAAGCUGCGGCUAACUACGUGCCAGCAGCCGCGGUAAUACGUAGGCAGCAAGCGUUGUUCGGAGUUACUGGGCGUAAAGAGUGCGUAGGCGGUUUUCUAAGUUCGGUGUGAAAUCUCCCGGCUUAACUGGGAGGGUGCGCCGAAGACUGGGAAGCUGGAGUGUGGGAAAGGCAGGCGGAAUUCCUGGUGUAGCGGUGAAAUGCUUAGAUAACAGGAGGAACACCGGCGGUGUAGACGGCUUGCUAGACCAUAACUGACGCUGAGGCACGAAAGCGUGGGUAGCAAACA